rnacentral:tRNA from 1 species
GGCUGGGUGGUGUAGUUGGUUAUCACAUCUGUCUAACAGCUGGAGUUAAUAUCUCCACUGUUGCGCACAGAAGGUCCCGAGUUCAAGUCUCGGCCGAGUCA